CAGUAGCUCAGUGGUAGAGCUCUCGCUUCAUAUGCCGGAAGACCUGGGUUCAAUUCCCGGCUG
rnacentral:tRNA from 1 species